GCGUGUCUCUUCGUCGGCUUGGAAGAAGUUCUGAGUGGAAAGGUGGUGUUUGAGGGUGUCAAAAGAGAUAGGGUUGGUAGUGGUGGGGGUGGAGGAGGAAGUUGUAGGAGAAAGAGAGAAAGUGGUGGUCGUGGAAGAGGUUGUGGUGGUGGUGGAGGAUGAGGAGGAGGAGGGGGAGGGGUGGAGGAAAAGGGAGGAAGGUGGAAGGUGGAAGGAUUCUGAGUUGGAGAGGCGUUUGAGGAAAGAAUAUUGGUGGUGAAGGGAUGCUAGAGAGUGGGUGGUCAUGGUUUGGGUUUGUGGUGGGAAUAGUGUGACAAUGGCGAAAGGUAAAGAGAGAAAAAGGAU
rnacentral:lncRNA from 1 species